ensembl:lncRNA
AGGGGAUUAUCACGCUUCCUGGUUCCGGUGGCGGGAUUUGUCUUCGUUGUGCAUGAACACUUCCGGCGCACUUCCACCAUGGCUGAAACAAAGGCGAGAUGUCACUGCUCUCUGUUCCACUUUGUACAUCUAACAAACAACACCAAACCUACUUAAGUUUUCAUGGAUUCCCGACUGAAAUGAGUCUAAGGAAGAAGUGGAUUCAAGCGGUUCGCCGGGAUGAAGGGCCAAACUUUAAAAUAAAACAAGUUAGCACGUUUGUUUGUAGCCGGCACUAGUGAAUCAGACUACAAACGCUACAGCUAGCAACCAACCGGGGUCACACCAAGCGACUGAAAAUCGGGUCUUUACCCUCCCGUUUCCAGUGGAACAACUGGGGACUGCCAAGAAGGGGGUCUGUUUAUAAAAGAGCAUCAACUCGCUUAGGCCAUGACGUUCACCCAUCCCUUCCUCUGGAGCAACCGCUGCCCUGUGAAUAAGAGCCGAUGGAGGAGAUCUCAGCUUCGGUGGUGAUGACAGAACAUGAUUUCGGUUCUGCUCCUAAACCAGAGCUGACUGAACGAAGUGGACUGCUGGAUUUACUGGAGCCAGGAGAUGGCUGCAUGGCAGACAAGGGUUUCACCAUCGAGAAGCCACUAGCUGAUCGUGGGGCAACGCUGAUUAUACCACCCUUCAAGAUGACAGGUAGGCAUGAAAGGAAUGAACAUUUCAAAUUAAAACUUUGACCCAAAUGUGACCAUUAAGAUAUGCUGACAAAUGUUUAAGAUGGACUGAAG